rnacentral:rRNA from 1 species
UACGUAGGGGGCAAGCGUUAUCCGGAAUUACUGGGUGUAAAGGGAGAGUAGGCGGCAAGGUAAGCGAUAUGUGAAAGCCUCAGGCUUAACCUAAGGAUUGCAUAACGAACUAUCUAGCUAGAGUACAGGAGAGGAAAGCGGAAUUCCUAGUGUAGCGGUGAAAUGCGUAGAUAUUAGGAAGAACACCAGUGGCGAAGGCGGCUUUCUGGACUGAAACUGACGCUGAGGCUCGAAAGCGUGGGGAGCGA